UACGAGGGGGGCGAGCGUUUGUUCGGAAUUAUUGGGCGUAAAGGGUGCGUAGGCGGUUUGGUAAGUCUUAUGUGAAAUCUAUGGGCUCAACUCAUAGUCUGCAUGAGAAACUGCCGGGCUUGAGUAUGGGAGAGGUGAGUGGAAUUCCUGGUGUAGCGGUGAAAUGCGUAGAUAUCAGGAGGAAUACCUGUGGCGAAAGCGGCUCACUGGACCAUAACUGACGCUGAUACACGAAAGCUAGGGGAGCAAACAGG
rnacentral:rRNA from 1 species